UACGGGGGGGGCAAGCGUUGUUCGGAAUUACUGGGCGUAAAGGGUUCGUAGGUGGCCAACUAAGUCAGACGUGAAAUCCCUCAGCUUAACUGGGGAACUGCGUCUGAUACUGGUUGGCUUGAGUGCAGGAGAGGAACGCGGAAUUCCAGGUGUAGCGGUGAAAUGCGUAGAUAUCUGGAGGAACACCGGUGGCGAAGGCGGCAUCCUGGACCGGUAUUGACGCUGAGGCGCGAAAGCCAGGGGAGCAAACGG
rnacentral:rRNA from 1 species